rnacentral:rRNA from 1 species
AGAGUUUGAUCAUGGCUCAGGAUGAACGCUGGCGGCGUGCUUAACACAUGCAAGUCGAACGGGAUCCAUCAAGCUUGCUUGGUGGUGAGAGUGGCGAACGGGUGAGUAAUGCGUGACCGACCUGCCCCAUACACCGGAAUAGCUCCUGGAAACGGGUGGUAAUGCCGGAUGCUCCAGUUGAUCGCAUGUCUUCUGGGAAAGCUUUCGCGGUAUGGGAUGGGGUCGCGUCCUAUCAGCUUGACGGCGGGGUAACGGCCCACCGUGGCUUCGACGGGUAGCCGGCCUGAGAGGGCGACCGGCCACAUUGGGACUGAGAUACGGCCCAGACUCCUACGGGAGGCAGCAGUGGGGAAUAUUGCACAAUGGGCGCAAGCCUGAUGCAGCGACGCCGCGUGAGGGAUGGAGGCCUUCGGGUUGUAAACCUCUUUUAUCGGGGAGCAAGCGAGAGUGAGUUUACCCGUUGAAUAAGCACCGGCUAACUACGUGCCAGCAGCCGCGGUAAUACGUAGGGUGCAAGCGUUAUCCGGAAUUAUUGGGCCGUAAAAGGCUCGUA